rnacentral:rRNA from 1 species
ACAGUAAGAGCUUGCUCUUAUGGGUGGCGAGUGGCGGACGGGUGAGGAAUACAUCGGAAUCUACUUUUUCGUGGGGGAUAACGUAGGGAAACUUACGCUAAUACCGCAUACGCCCUACGGGGGAAAGCCGGGGACCUUCGGGCCUGGCGCGGAUAAAUGAGCCGAUGUCCGAUUAGCUAGUUGGCGGGGUAAAGGCCCACCAAGGCGACGAUCGGUAGCUGGUCUGAGAGGAUGAUCAGCCACACUGGAACUGAGACACGGUCCAGACUCCUACGGGAGGCAGCAGUGGGGAAUAUUGGACAAUGGGCGCAAGCCUGAUCCAGCCAUACCGCGUGGGUGAAGAAGGCCUUCGGGUUGUAAAGCCCUUUUGUUGGGAAAGAAAAGCAGCCGGUUAAUACCUGGUUGUUCUGACGGUACCCAAAGAAUAAGCACCGGCUAACUUCGUGCCAGCAGCCGCGGUAAUACGAAGGGUGCAAGCGUUACUCGGAAUUACUGGGCGUAAAGCGUGCGUAGGUGGUUGUUUAAGUCUGUCGUGAAAGCCCCGGGCUCAACCUGGGAAUUGCGAUGGAAACUGGGCAACUAGAGUGUGGUAGAGGGUAGUGGAAUUUCCGGUGUAGCAGUGAAAUGCGUAGAGAUCGGAAGGAACAUCUGUGGCGAAGGCGA